GGGUGGUUUCCCGCCUCGGCCUGGAAAGCCAUCUGGUAUUCUGGCACUGUCUCUCCUUCAGAAACAAAGGAAAGUCAGUCAGCCGUACCAGACGAUUUCCAGUCAGCUUCAUAGACAGACCGAAGUCGCUGAUCACACAGGUGCCAUCGUUCUUCACUAGAACAUUCCGGCUGUUUAGAUCCCGGUGCGAAAUGGCAGGCAUGUGUGGAAGAAUCUGGAUGUCUUUGUACACAUGGUGUCAACAAGAAGGCUUUAAAGAUGUAUAUUUCAAUUAAAUGCUGUCCUUUUGACACUACUCACUGAAUAAUCCUAAUCACGAUAUUCAUAUUAAUAUUUAUUUAAAACAGGGAGAAAUACUGAAUUAAAAUAUAUAAAAUUAAUUCAUUUAUUAAAUUAUUAAUUGAUUUAUUGAAAUCAGGAAUGGGUAAAAGUUUAAAAUAAUGGCCCAUUAGUUAGUGUUAAAUAAUUAGUAAUAUAUGUAUUACAGUAUUUAUUCAUCUCUGUUAAGGUAAGUAUUGUUUUAGUUUGUUGUAUUCAAGUUAAAUGAUGUUAGUUAAUUAACUCACCGUUCAUUAACUAAUAAAAGCAAGCACAAAUUUAGAUUGUAUUAACAAAUUAGUUAAUGUU